UACGUAGGGUGCAAGCGUUGUCCGGAAUUACUGGGCGUAAAGCGUGCGUAGUCGGUUAUUUAAGUCGGAUGUGAAAUCCCCGGGCUCAACCUGGGAAUUGCAUUCGAUACUGGAUAGCUAGAGUUCGGCAGAGGGAAGCGGAAUUUCUGGUGUAGCGGUGAAAUGCGUAGAUAUCAGAAGGAACAUCAGUGGCGAAAGCGGCUUCCUGGACCAGAACUGACGAUCAGGCACGAAAGCGUGGGGAGCAAACAGG
rnacentral:rRNA from 1 species